GAAGGUCUGAGCAGCAGAGAAGCUUCUUAGUUUUCAUUCUGCUGCAGUGGAACAACUUUGUUGAUCUUCUGUCUGACUUGAACACCUGGAAACAUGUUACUUUACCUCUUUCUGCUUUUCUCUCACUACAUAGCCAUGGGCUCCAUGAACACCAUCAAACAGGAACAGAGGGAACUAGUGGUUUCAGAGGGAAGAAGCACCAGUUUGAACUGUGAAUAUACUGGUUCUAUCAACAAUAUCCAGUGGUACCGACAGUACCAGAGAUCCAGACCAGAGUUCCUGCUCUACAUCGUUGAGGGAGGAACGAUUCAUCCAACUCGCUCUGAUUUCUCAGCUCAGAUCGACAAAACUCUGAAACGAGUAAAUCUGCUGAUCUCCUCUGCUGCAGUGACAGAUUCUGCUGUGUACUACUGUGCUCUGGAGCCCACAGUGACAGGAAACACCAGAACUCUGUACAAGAACCUGCAAUACUCCACAACAUCCAGUAGAGGGCCUCACACACUGUUCUACUUCUAUGGUUUGUUAGGAUUCAGAAUGACUGUUUUCAGACACAUGAAAAUGAAACAGAAUCAUUUUCGGAGGACAACCUCUCUUACUCAGAUGUAACUAUGAGACAACUGCAACCUUUGCUGACCGUCACUGGUACAAACAUCAUGAUGACCUUCAAGCACCUCAGUUUCUACUCUGGAAACGAGGAAAAUGAGGCUCAGCUGAGUAUCUUCCUGAUGGUGGAUGUGUCUCAGCAGCAACAUCUGGAUCCACUGAGCUGACCAUCAGAGAGUUAACCCUGGCAGACUCAGCUCUCUACUACUGUGCUCUAGAAACACAGUGAUACAAAGUGUAGAAGAGGCUGUACAAAAACCUGAACACAGAUAUCUGACUACUCUUCAAAGAGGAGGGAAGUGGUAUUCAAAGCACAUCUUCAUAUCAGAUGGAUUCUUCUAAUUCCUGUUUUAUCAGAGUCUCUGUGGUUACAGCUGCUAAUCAAACACUGAGGAGGAUCCACAGGAGCAGAGUUACAGCUGAUCUACCUCACUCACAGGGACAAGUAGAG